GUGAAUCAUCGAAUUUUUGAACGCAAAUUGCACUCUCCGGUUUUCCAGGAGAGUAUGCCUGUUUGAGUGUCAGCCUAAAAAAAUCGCCAUUGUUGCUUUUUUUUGGUGACUUACGUGGGAGAUGGGUUAUUUUAAGUCUUGGUUUAAGAGCAUUAAAAUUUUUUUUUACGUUUCUAAAAACUUUUCUAAGUUUUUUCUGGCACGUU
rnacentral:misc_RNA from 1 species